GAGAACGCCGCCUUCGACAAACCUCGGCUCGCUCCCGCCCUCCUCUUCCUCCGCGGCCUGGGCUCCUCGCCCCGCGACCCGUCAAGCCCUUCCGGUUGCUGCUUUCCUCGCUCGCGAAUCCGGCCACUCCCGUUCCACUUUAGGGGUAAUCGUGCUCCGGAGCCUGCGUGAGGCGAGCCCCGGGGCCUCCGGGCUGCGCAGGGUGGGAGCCACCUUCGGGAAGAGAACCGUGGGGCGCGAGGGACGCCAUCUCGGACUAAAUGCGGAGCGGCGGGAGCUGCGCGUGCGCCCAGAGGCGCUACGGCGGCGGGGGCGGGGUGCCCUCCGCGAGGCGGCCGUGUCCCCCGCCCCUCGGGCUCCGUGCGGGGGUCGGAAAGCCCCUAAUUGGGCGGCCCGGACGGUGGUCGCGGAGCCUCGGCGGGCCGCGACGGAAGUCACACUCGGCGGGCCGGGAGAACCCAGAACCGCGGCUGGUGCUGCCACCCAGCAGCGCCGACCGCGCGCCUGUGGCAUUGGCCAUGGCACGUAAGUGCCCGGCCGCACGGAGCCUUCCUACGGCGACUCCUGUGUCCCUCCUAGUUCUUCCUCUCCGUGGAAGGAAAUUCUUUCCAGAGUACGGGAGUACAGAAAAUGAGCGGUGUAGUGAGUGAGGUUGCUAUAAAUUAUUUGCGAUUCACGGGGAGGAAACUUAUCAGUGACAAUCUUUUCUUGGUGGCAGUCCACUGCCUUUUUAUUUCCUGGAACAUGGGUUUAACAGAAAGAAUUGCUACGUAAGCAGGCUAGAGAGGUAAAACACAUAAGGAUUAAAAAAAAAAAUUGAAAAGACUACUCGGUAUCCAAAAGGUUACAUUAAUCCUAAAUAGUGUAAUACGGAAAGAGACCUUGAAAUCAUAGCUGAAAAGAUUUUUUAAACUAACAGUGUCGGCUUGUCAGAUCCACUUGUCAAAUGUUAAGUUGAUUAUUAUGGCAACUAGUAAAACCCUGCUUAACGCCCACAGAAGCUGUCAGUAACUAAGAAAAAAGGUUGUUGGUGCCUGAAGUGACUGGAGGGCUAGAGGGAUAGGUCAUUUGUAACAUUUUUUAGCACAAAUUAAAC
rnacentral:lncRNA from 1 species